rnacentral:rRNA from 1 species
ACUCCUACGGGAGGCAGCAGUAGGGAAUCUUCCACAAUGGGCGCAAGCCUGAUGGGGCAACACCGCGUGAGUGAAGAAGGGUUUCGGCUCGUAAAGCUCUGUUUGUUAAAGAAGAACACGUAUGAGAGUAACUGUUCAUACGUUGACGGUAUUUAACCAGAAAGUCACGGCUAACUACGUGCCAGCAGCCGCGGUAAUACGUAGGUGGCAAGCGUUAUCCGGAUUUAUUGGGCGUAAAGAGAGUGCAGGCGGUUUCUAAGUCUGAUGUGAAAGCCCCUCGGCUUAACCGGAGAAGUGCAUCGGAAACUGGAUAACUUGAGUGCAGAAGAGGUAGUGGAACUCCAUGUGUAGCGGUGGAAUGCGUAGAUAUAUGGAAGAACACCAGUGGCGAAGGCGGCUACCUGGUCUGCAACUGACGCUGAGACUCGAAAGCAUGGGUAGCGAACAGGAUUAGAUACCCCUGGUAGGAUAGCG